rnacentral:rRNA from 1 species
CACGCCGUAAACGAUGAUCACUCGCUGUUUGCGAUAUACAGUAAGCGGCUAAGCGAAAGCGUUAAGUGAUCCACCUGGGGAGUACGAUCGCAAGGUUGAAACUCAAAGGAAUUGACGGGGGCCCGCACAAGCGGAGGAACAUGUGGUUUAAUUCGAUGAUACGCGAGGAACCUUACCCGGGCUCGAACGGUGCAUGAAUGUUCAAGAGAUUGGAUAGUCCUUCGGGACAUGUAUCGAGGUGC